CCUGGGCCCCUCACUGAGGGGAAGAUGGGUGUUUUACAGGAGCUCCCUGACAAGGAGGAGCCAGUGAACAAGGUUUAUUCCACAUUGCAGACUGGUAAGAUGGGGGAAAACCAGCUCUCAGGACGGCAAACCUCCUGGAACCUAUGAAAAUGUGAUCUAAGCUCAUGGCCAGCAUUCUCCCUGUGGACACUGAGCUUCAACAACCAUCGAUACCCCGGCAGAUGCCCCGGACCCAGACUUUCUCUGCGCACGUCUUACCUGGAGAUUGCAAACCAUCACGCCCCAAUCUGUGACUUUUUUGUGACUGGAGGUGCUGAGCCUUCCCAGCAACCCCCUAUGUAGACAGGAUUGGUAUUUUGCAUGCCUGUACCCAGCCAUGGCAUGCCACCUAGGAGGCUCUGAUCAUACUCAAUGUCGUGGGGAGCCCCGGUGCACGACCUCCACAGUCCACACAGCACGUGAGACAAAUUAGACAAAAGCACCCUUCCCCCGAGGCAGAUGCGGCCCCUCCCAAGCACAUGGCUUGAUGAGUAGAGUGUGGGCUGCACUUCAGCCUCUACGUGCCCCUUUGCCCAGGAACCUUUGUGCAGGGGCGGCUGGCUAGCCCAGCCCGCCCAUCCAUGAUGGUGUCGCAUGGGAAGCCAUGGGAGCUGUGGCUCUUGGCUGUGCGGACACACUAUCCAAACGGAGAGUUGGAGAAUGCUCCUUCUGUAGGGACUGGACAGCUGCGGCAUUUUUCUUCAGGCUCUACUUCGGAAGCCUCAUAAGAUUUUCUUUCUGGCCAAGCUUUCAACUUGACUGGGCCAUUUAUGGGGUGACCAGACAUUGGUUAAACACGAUUCUGGGGGGAUCUAUGAGGGCAUUUCUGGAUGAGAUUAACAUUCGGAUUGGUAGAUUGAGUAAAGCAGAUUAAUCCCCGCUCCCAUACGGGUGCAUAUCACCAGAUCCAUCAAGAGCCUGAAGAAGAAGAGGACAGAGUAGGGGAGAAUUAAUUCUCUCUGCCUGGCCAUCUUAGAGCUGGGAUAUCAGUCCUCCUGCUUUAGAACUUGGACUUGGACUGGAACUUGCACCAUCAGCUCUCCUGGUUCUCAGGCCUUUGGACUUAUGCUGGAGAACUACACCAUCAGCAGUCCAGCUGCAGACCCUGGGAUUUCUCAAUCUUCGUAAGCACACAAGCCAGCUCCUUGUUAUAUCUGUUUCCUGUUGGUUCCAUUUCUCUGAAGGACCAGACUAAUACCUAUUCCAAGCAGCCUCGGCAAGAAGAAGAGACCGUCCCCAGUACCCCAUUCACCAAAAGGACUUGACCAGCUAUACUUAUGACACUUUAGGGGAGCUGAGUACAACCCAACCAUCGAAGCAAGAGACCUUAAAAGAAGUGGGUCAUUCUUCAGAGGGAACUUGGCAGAUGAUGGUGUAGAUGAUGAAACUGGCUUCGCCUCACCUCUGUUACUAAGGCUCAGUCCAGAGAGUCACUGCUUCACGCUUUGGUUCGAUGCCCCUGCGCCCCUGCUACCAGCGCUGAGGAGAAAUCACCCAUGGCUGAGCAGAACAUUCAAGUGAUCGUAUGAAACUGUUUCCCUUAUGUGUGAGCACCCACAGCCAGUUAAAUCCUAAGUCCCCGUGAACAAUCCCAGGCUGGGCAGCAGAAGUGAGCUGCAUUUAGGCAGAAGGAAGGUGUUAGUUUCAGUGAAUGGUUCCAUCGAGCCAUCUAGCCCUGACCACCAUUAGCACUGUGUCGGGGGAUGCAAGACCCUCAAAGUAUCAGAUGAGCAUAAUGUCUGCCCUGGUCUAGCUGCCCUGUGCAAGGCAAGCACGGACACUACAGUUAAAUGCUGAAUUACACGUUUUGGGGAGUGGCAGCAGCUAGUACAGUCAGGGAAGGCUUCACGAAGGAGGUGGAGCUGAAGCUGCGCUCUGGAGGAAGGGUAAGAUCUGGCUGAGAAUGGAGAAGACAGAAGGCAUCCAACUGAGGAAAGCACAAGAAAGAAGCAGAGGCCGAAUCGGCGUGAUGUGUUUUGGGCACCACCCCAGAUGCACUGAGCACGUUCACAGUCCCUUGCCUACCAUGGCAGAGUGCCUCUGCUUUGGUGUGCCCCCCAACCCCCAGCCCUUUCCACACACAUCAACGCUCAGCUCAAAUGUCACCUCCUCUGUGAAGCUCUCCCUGGCAUCACUGGUCAAAUUAAUUAUGGCUUUUUUUGCCCUCCUUUCCCCCCCUUGGUCCUUAUAUCACUGCAACUCAUUUCUUUCUGCCUCACGGUAUAGAUCAUUAUUUGUUUCCCUCCACACUGUACAUACUGAAGGGCAAGAUCCAUGACUUCAUGACCAUGGAGAGUGAUCAUGUGCGAUGAGAGUUUUAGUCCCCUGUGCAUCCACCACCAGCCAACGUUGUGCCUUGUACCCUGCCUGUGAGCAAUAAAUGCUAUUGAAUAGAA